rnacentral:lncRNA from 1 species
GCGGCUGUAACUACCGUCACUUGAGUUUGAUUUACCUUGAGAGAAACUAUAUACAAUGUUUAAGUUUUUGAUAAAGAUGCGAAAUCACCUUUUUUUUGUUACAAAAAAAAGUAUAAUCUAAAACAUAUAGCCAGAGUUAACCAAUCAGGUGUAUAUAUGUCAACGUUUUUACGUUCGUAGAAUUGGGCCUAAUUGCUAUUCGUUAGGGUUUGUUAAGGCCUAGUGUCGUUAGCCGUCUAACGAAGAAAGGCAAGUUCUAGUGUCACACCAUACCACACUGUUUUUUUUUCUUUUGUAUUUUUUUUUCCAACUUUUUUGUUUUGUUUAAUGGAAGCAAAACAACUGUGAGAGAUGGACAAAACCAAAUAAAAUUUUGGUUUCACCGAUUAGACAAUAAUAAAGCAAAAAAGGGAUAUUUAAUCAUUAAAACUAUGUGUUUAUUGGUUUCUUUGCUUGUAAGUUGUAACAUUCAGCAUUAUUUAAAUUUACAUCAUAAGCAUAUUCACUAUACCCCCAGUGUUAUCCUAGAGGCCAUAGCUUUAAUCUCACAUCUCCCUGUUUCGGCUUUGUUAUAGUGGCAACAGUUGAAUCAAAACUAUGAACCUCUAUAUAUUG